GAUGAACGCUAGCUACAGGCUUAACACAUGCAAGUCGAGGGGAAACGGCAUCGAAAGCUUGCUUUUGAUGGGCGUCGACCGGCGCACGGGUGAGUAACGCGUAUCCAACCUGCCCAUCACUUGGGAAUAACCUUGCGAAAGUAAGACUAAUGCCCAAUGACAUCCCACGAAGGCAUCCGAAUGGGAUUAAAGAUUUAUCGGUGAUGGAUGGGGAUGCGUCUGAUUAGCUUGUUGGCGGGGUGACGGCCCACCAAGGCAACGAUCAGUAGGGGUUCUGAGAGGAAGGUUCCCCACAUUGGAACUGAGACACGGUCCAAACUCCUACGGGAGGCAGCAGUGAGGAAUAUUGGUCAAUGGGCGAGAGCCUGAACCAGCCAAGUAGCGUGCAGGAUGACGGCCCUAUGGGUUGUAAACUGCUUUUAUAAGGGAAUAAAGUGGGUCACGUGUGACUUUUUGCAUGUACCUUAUGAAUAAGGACCGGCUAAUUCCGUG
rnacentral:rRNA from 1 species